GCCAAUACCGAGCCGUGAGCAUAAAAUACCAGGAAAUGUUCUUUAAACAGCUCAGCACAGUCACUGCUCCCAGAACCACAGCCGCCGUUUUCUCACUGCAAUAUUUACUUUUCAGCUUCUGGCAACAAAUGGCCACAAACCGAUCAAAGGUGAAAGUGACGGUGAACCAGACAGAGCAGUCAGUGGCUGCAUAAAGCAGGACGGCGUGGAUAUUACACACAGGGACGGAGUCCCUCAGGAAAUAAAACUGUUCCCGAUAAACAAUGGGAAUGUGUCUCAGGAUCAGGUCGAGGAUAAUGACCAGGAGAUCCGCCGCUGCCAUGGCCCCCAGGUAUCUAUGUUAGCUGUUUGGAUACAGAAUUGGCUGGCCAACAGAAGACAGCGAGUGGUAGUGGAAGGAAAAUAUUCUGCCUGGAAGUCAGUGGGCCAUAUAAACAUAUCUUCAAAUCGAUCGAGACCAUUUUCUGCUCAGGGUAUGGCUCUGUGUAUGACAGCAGCAAUGAUGCACCGACAUGGAACAGGGAAUGUGAUGGAGACAUAGUUUGGACAAUGUACAAGGAGACCUCACAUGGCCCAGUUUGGGAGAGAAUGACAUUCUUGUGUGAUUCAACUCAGAGAGGGAGAAAGUGUCAUCUGCCCGAGAAGAAACGGCCUAUUGCACUCUCUCUCCUUCAUUAUUCCUCAUCACAGUAACGUGUGCGAGCUAAAACAAAACUCUACUGUCAUCAUUACCAUUCUUAUUUUUAUAGAAUCCUGCAGUGUAGAAACAAGCCCUUCGGCCC